CCUGGUAGCUCAGAUGGUAAAGAAUCUGCCUGCAAUGCAGGAGACCUAGGUUCGAUCCCUGGGUCAGGA
rnacentral:tRNA from 1 species